GCUGACCUCUGGCGGCGUGCCUAAUACAUGCAAGUCGAGCGAACAGAUGAGGAGCUUGCUCCUCUGACGUUAGCGGCGGACGGGUGAGUAACACGUGGAUAACCUACCUAUAAGACUGGGAUAACUUCGGGAAACCGGAGCUAAUACCGGAUAAUAUAUUGAACCGCAUGGUUCAAUAGUGAAAGACGGUUUUGCUGUCACUUAUAGAUGGAUCCGCGCCGCAUUAGCUAGUUGGUAAGGUAACGGCUUACCAAGGCGACGAUGCGUAGCCGACCUGAGAGGGUGAUCGGCCACACUGGAACUGAGACACGGUCCAGACUCCUACGGGAGGCAGCAGUAGGGAAUCUUCCGCAAUGGGCGAAAGCUUGACGGAGCAACGCCGCGUGAGUGAUGAAGGUCUUCGGAUCGUAAAACUCUGUUAUUAGGGAAGAACAAAUGUGUAAGUAACUAUGCACGUCUUGACGGUACCUAAUCAGAAAGCCACGGCUAACUACGUG
rnacentral:rRNA from 1 species